CGCGCGCGAACAGCAAGACAGAGUUUUCUCUCACGAGAGAGAGAGAGAGGCAGGGGGGUUAAUCCCCUCUCUCUUUUCUUUUUUUUCUAACGCACAAAUUUGACAAACUCUUCCUUCUUCCAUCCACCCUUCGUGUUCGGAACGAGAAACGUUUUGUUGGGGAAUCUUCUGCUUUGAUUUUUCGCCAUGCCCCUGGGAUGGUGGUUGAGGGGUGACGUCCUGCGAGGACCAUCCUUCUGGAAGAAAUAGCCAGGGAGGAGGACCUGCACCCCUCAGGCAGGUGUCUUCCCGACUCGAGAAAGCAAGCGAGUGAAGACGUGGGAAGAAGAAAGAUCGCGCCAAAAGGAAGAUCCCCAUGAACUCGUUCGCCCACCGGCCGCGGCUCCGACGAAAAGUGAAGCACAUACUCAUUGCCACUAUGCUCUGCUGCGGAAAGAGAAAGGAGCCUCGCGGCGAGCCCGUGGAGGCCUUGACGGAGGAAGGGUUGGCGGUGCGUCGUCUGCUGCAGCGGCACCCCCGCCCCGCCUCCGGCAUCGUGGUGGGCAGGGACUUCCGGAAAGUCAGCGGAAUCAGCUCGGAGGUGUUUCGUCAGUUGGAGGCCAUGGAGAACGACCUGUGUGACGCUGCGACAGCCGCCCGCCUCGAGACGGUGUCCCGCCGUGGCGGGGAAAUGCUGAUCCGCAUGUUCGAUCCGAUCCAGCUGGGGCGGGCCGGGGCCGACGCAUACCGAGAGUACAUGGAACAGGCCGACGCCACACACGUCGUCCGGUUCGUAGAGAUCAUCAAGCGGCCCGGGCAGACACUUGGCCUGUACAUCCGGGAAGGAGACGGCUUGGGGGCGACGGAGGGCGUGUUCAUCUCCCGCAUCGCCCUCGAGUCGGCGGUGUACAACAGCGGGCUGCUGCGCGUGGGCGAUGAGAUCCUCUCUGUCAACUUGGUGAACGUGCAGCGCAUGGGGCUCGACGACGUCGUCAUCAUCAUGUCGAUCCCGAGGCGGCUGGUGCUGGCCAUCCGGUCGCGCAUCCACAGCGGGGGGCAGCGCAUCCGGGAGCUUACGAGGAAGCCACAAGAAGGGAGGCCCCCCGUCGUCGUCAUCAAAAAGGACACGACGGAGGAAACUUCGAAUGGUGAGAACAGCGAGAACGGAGUGUUGAUCCGGGCUCGAACGAAGGGGCUGCCUCCCGAAGUACCGGCCAUCGCCGUAAAAUUAUCAGAGCGUGACCAUCGAAGAGAAAGGACCCGCUACGAGCAACCCCAUCCGAGAGAGGAACAUCCACAGCCACCACAGAGCUCGCUCUAUUACAACUCGCAGCCAAAGAUCGCCCACCACCACAGGCCCUACCACCAGGCGCCACCUUCUCACCAACAGUACACAGCUACACAGCGAAGGAGGGAGGAGCCGCCUCAGACGACCAGGUGGGUGGUGACGGAACAGCCAACGAAAGUGUCGCCUUACCAAGAAGAGCGUGAGAUCCCGGACGUCUCCGAGUACUACAUAGAGGACAGGACGCACCACCGCGACAGAUACGAGCCCCACCACAGGAGGACGCGCAGCAUGGUGCCCCCCACCAGGGGCGGCGCCUACGAACUGGGCCCCACCGCCCCUCUGCGUCGCUCCACGGGCAUGCUGCGCACCGAGAGCGAGUACCGGAUGCGGCCCUCCAUGCAAGGGCGGCGCUUCGGCAUCCUGCGGCGCGGGGCCGGCGCCACCCACAGCUUCGAGAGUGCCUCGGACACCGAGGCGCAUGCGCAGGAGCCGGGCUGGGCCCGCCGCGUCCCCUACGGCUCGCGAAGCCAUUCACUGCCCCGCUCCUUGAGGAGCGGACCGGACCGACGGCAAGCCGCGGUCCGCUUCACCACCGCCCUGCCUUACGACUCCCAGGAGGAGAGUGACGGAGCAGUCUCGGCCCCGGAACUCCCCGCCACCAGGAGGCCCCCUCCCCCUGUGGGUCGUCGUUCAUCACCGAGUGUGUUCACUUCCAACGAGUACCGGGCCUGGAUGAGCAGGGCCCCCUCGACCUCGGCCCUCUACGAGCGACUGCGGAGGACGCGCCCCCAACCGGGGAGGAUCGCCUACAGCGCAGAGUCGCUCCUCGACUCCGUUAGACAGGAGGAGGGCCGUUCUAAUCUGGUGUAUACAUUCCCCCGCCUCCACACUCCUAGCGAGGAUUCACUGCCAGCGGGGGGAUAUCACCCUGCCCCACCCCCCAAGCCACAUGACCAAAGACUCCACCUGCUCAGCUUAGACCCUAGGGACUUCAACAAGUACCGGCCGCGCCCCAUCACGACUCCCGUUUGCAGUUUGGGCCCUUCCACUGGGGCAGCGCCUAAAGGUUUCAGUGGUCUACUGUGGAUCCACUUGUUGUCGGGCCGGGGCCUGCGCGGAGGGGGCCAUGGGGCCUCGUUCCGCGAUCUGUACUGCGUGAUCGAAUGCGACCGCCAGCAUCGGGCACGAACUGUCAUCCGCACCGGCGACCACUCCUUCGACUGGGAUGAAGUCUUCGAGCUCGAUCUCGUCGAAGCGCGGGAACUCUCUUUCCUACUCUACACAUGGGACCCGAGGUUCCGCCAUAAGUUGUGCUACAAGGGUACUCUCCACUUGGGGGCCCUCUUGCGCGAAAGCCCUGCCCACAGUCUGGCUCUGAAGAUGGAGCCUCGAGGUACGUUGUACCUGAAAUUGCGAUACAAAGGGCCACAGCAGUGUUUCCAGAGGUUGCCGGCCCACGCUCCACACGCUCAACUGUUUGGGGUGGAUCUGGAGGCGGUGCUCGUCAGAGAAGACUCAGGAUACGGAGUACCCCUUAUUGUCAAGAGGUGCACGGAGGAGGUUGAAAGGCGUGGCCUGGACAUAGUAGGUAUAUAUAGGUUAUGUGGCUCUGCCCUCCGGAAAAGGCUACUACGGGAAGAAUUCGAAAGAAGUUCCGCUCAAGCAGAUCUUUCCGUUGAACACGUGCCAGACAUUAACGUUGUAACAAGCCUCCUAAAAGACUACCUCCGAGAACUGCCCGAGCCUCUGUUGAGCAGAGGCCUCCACGAGAUGCUGUGCGAUGGUCUUAGUGUCUGUCUGCCAGAAGAUCCGGAGGGGAACGCCAAGCUUAUGUUCAGUAUCCUAGAGUGCCUGCCGAAGGCUAAUCUGUGCACGGUUUUGCUGCUGUUAGACCACCUGCGUCUGAUCUGCAGCCACGGGGACCGCAACAAGAUGACCCCUCUUGGGUUGGCCACCGUCUUCGGUCCUCCCCUCAUGUGCCACGCCGAAACCACCGGGGAGGAAGUCGAUAUCCGGCGUCCAAUAGACGUCCUACACUUCCUUGUAGAGAUGUGGCCCUGCAAGAGGAGCCCCAGGCUCUGGUACGACGCCACCUCUGGCGAAGUCUACCGAAUGUAGAUCACUGCCUGGCCCUCUGGUGAGAUGUUCCUCAACUAACGGAACCCCGCCUCAACCACAGGUUGGGCCUUUCGUCCUGGUCGAGCAGCGGCAGCAGUUGGGAGAGCAGCCUCUCGGACCUCCUGGUAGAAUGGCUGACUCCACGCUGAGCCCCUGAAAGUGCGUGCCAUAGAGGAUCAACAUACACAGAAAACUCAACUGAAACCUUACCCAUUGAACUGUUGACUCCGCCCCCAUGGGAGGAGGCCACGCCCGCGGAGGCGCGUCGAUUCUCAUCGGGGGAAGGAACUCAUUUGUUACAUGAAUCCUUUAUUACCCCCUCUUCCUAGUUGGACGUGUCAUUUGUUUGAUAUUAAAUAAUAAAGAGAAAAAGUAU